GUCUAUAGUCGAACCACCCUGAUAGCACUUGGUCUUGGAAGCUAAGCAGGGCCAGGUCUGGUUAGCACUUGGAUAGAAGGUAUGUAGGAUGUAGGUG
ensembl:rRNA predicted gene, 24690